rnacentral:rRNA from 1 species
AGCGUACACGGUGGAUGCCCUGGCAGUCAGAGGCGAUGAAGGACGUGCUAAUCUGCGAUAAGCGUCGGUAAGGUGAUAUGAACCGUUAUAACCGGCGAUUUCCGAAUGGGGAAACCCAGUGUGUUUCGACACACUAUCAUUAACUGAAUCCAUAGGUUAAUGAGGCGAACCGGGGGAACUGAAACAUCUAAGUACCCCGAGGAAAAGAAAUCAACCGAGAUUCCCCCAGUAGCGGCGAGCGAACGGGGAGCAGCCCAGAGCCUGAAUCAGUGUGUGUGUUAGUGGAAGCGUCUGGAAAGGCGCGCGAUACAGGGUGACAGCCCCGUACACAAAAAUGCACAUGCUGUGAGCUCGAUGAGUAGGGCGGGACACGUGGUAUCCUGUCUGAAUAUGGGGGGACCAUCCUCCAAGGCUAAAUACUCCUGACUGACCGAUAGUGAACCAGUACCGUGAGGGAAAGGCGAAAAGAACCCCGGCGAGGGGAGUGAAAAAGAACCUGAAACCGUGUACGUACAAGCAGUGGGAGCACGCUUCGGCGUGUGACUGCGUACCUUUUGUAUAAUGGGUCAGCGACUUAUAUUCUGUAGCAAGGUUAACCGAAUAGGGGAGCCGAAGGGAAACCGAGUCUUAACUGGGCGUUAAGUUGCAGGGUAUAGACCCGAAACCCGGUGAUCUAGCCAUGGGCAGGUUGAAGGUUGGGUAACACUAACUGGAGGACCGAACCGACUAAUGUUGAAAAAUUAGCGGAUGACUUGUGGCUGGGGGUGAAAGGCCAAUCAAACCGGGAGAUAGCUGGUUCUCCCCGAAAGCUAUUUAGGUAGCGCCUCGUGAAUUCAUCUCCGGGGGUAGAGCACUGUUUCGGCAAGGGGGUCAUCCCGACUUACCAACCCGAUGCAAACUGCGAAUACCGGAGAAUGUUAUCACGGGAGACACACGGCGGGUGCUAACGUCCGUCGUGAAGAGGGAAACAACCCAGACCGCCAGCUAAGGUCCCAAAGUCAUGGUUAAGUGGGAAACGAUGUGGGAAGGCCCAGACAGCCAGGAUGUUGGCUUAGAAGCAGCCAUCAUUUAAAGAAAGCGUAAUAGCUCACUGGUCGAGUCGGCCUGCGCGGAAGAUGUAACGGGGCUAAACCAUGCACCGAAGCUGCGGCAGCGACGCUUAUGCGUUGUUGGGUAGGGGAGCGUUCUGUAAGCCUGUGAAGGUGUACUGUGAGGUAUGCUGGAGGUAUCAGAAGUGCGAAUGCUGACAUAAGUAACGAUAAAGCGGGUGAAAAGCCCGCUCGCCGGAAGACCAAGGGUUCCUGUCCAACGUUAAUCGGGGCAGGGUGAGUCGACCCCUAAGGCGAGGCCGAAAGGCGUAGUCGAUGGAAAACAGGUUAAUAUUCCUGUACUUGGUGUUACUGCGAAGGGGGGACGGAGAAGGCUAUGUUGGCCGGGCGACGGUUGUCCCGGUUUAAGCGUGUAGGCUGGUUUUCCAGGCAAAUCCGGAAAAUCAAGGCUGAGGCGUGAUGACGAGGCACUACGGUGCUGAAGCAACAAAUGCCCUGCUUCCAGGAAAAGCCUCUAAGCAUCAGGUAACAUCAAAUCGUACCCCAAACCGACACAGGUGGUCAGGUAGAGAAUACCAAGGCGCUUGAGAGAACUCGGGUGAAGGAACUAGGCAAAAUGGUGCCGUAACUUCGGGAGAAGGCACGCUGAUAUGUAGGUGAAGCGACUUGCUCGUGGAGCUGAAAUCAGUCGAAGAUACCAGCUGGCUGCAACUGUUUAUUAAAAACACAGCACUGUGCAAACACGAAAGUGGACGUAUACGGUGUGACGCCUGCCCGGUGCCGGAAGGUUAAUUGAUGGGGUUAGCGCAAGCGAAGCUCUUGAUCGAAGCCCCGGUAAACGGCGGCCGUAACUAUAACGGUCCUAAGGUAGCGAAAUUCCUUGUCGGGUAAGUUCCGACCUGCACGAAUGGCGUAAUGAUGGCCAGGCUGUCUCCACCCGAGACUCAGUGAAAUUGAACUCGCUGUGAAGAUGCAGUGUACCCGCGGCAAGACGGAAAGACCCCGUGAACCUUUACUAUAGCUUGACACUGAACAUUGAGCCUUGAUGUGUAGGAUAGGUGGGAGGCUUUGAAGUGUGGACGCCAGUCUGCAUGGAGCCGACCUUGAAAUACCACCCUUUAAUGUUUGAUGUUCUAACGUUGACCCGUAAUCCGGGUUGCGGACAGUGUCUGGUGGGUAGUUUGACUGGGGCGGUCUCCUCCUAAAGAGUAACGGAGGAGCACGAAGGUUGGCUAAUCCUGGUCGGACAUCAGGAGGUUAGUGCAAUGGCAUAAGCCAGCUUGACUGCGAGCGUGACGGCGCGAGCAGGUGCGAAAGCAGGUCAUAGUGAUCCGGUGGUUCUGAAUGGAAGGGCCAUCGCUCAACGGAUAAAAGGUACUCCGGGGAUAACAGGCUGAUACCGCCCAAGAGUUCAUAUCGACGGCGGUGUUUGGCACCUCGAUGUCGGCUCAUCACAUCCUGGGGCUGAAGUAGGUCCCAAGGGUAUGGCUGUUCGCCAUUUAAAGUGGUACGCGAGCUGGGUUUAGAACGUCGUGAGACAGUUCGGUCCCUAUCUGCCGUGGGCGCUGGAGAACUGAGGGGGGCUGCUCCUAGUACGAGAGGACCGGAGUGGACGCAUCACUGGUGUUCGGGUUGUCAUGCCAAUGGCACUGCCCGGUAGCUAAAUGCGGAAGAGAUAAGUGCUGAAAGCAUCUAAGCACGAAACUUGCCCCGAGAUGAGUUCUCCCUGACUCCUUGA